rnacentral:rRNA from 1 species
CUGGCGGCACGCCUAACACAUGCAAGUCGAACGCAGUAGCAAUACUGAGUGGCAGACGGGUGAGUAACAUGUGGGAAUCUGCCUUGUGGUUCAGGACAACAUUGGGAAACCGAUGCUAAUACUGGAUAAGCCCUUACGGGGAAAGUUUUAAUGCCAUAAGAUGAGCCCGCAUUUGAUUAGUUAGUUGGUGAGGUAAUGGCUCACCAAGACAAUGAUCAAUAGCUGAUCUGAGAGGAUGAUCAGCCACACUGGGACUGAGACACGGCCCAGACUCCUACGGGAGGCAGCAGUGGGGAAUCUUGCACAAUGGAGGAAACUCUGAUGCAGCGAUGCCGCGUGAGUGAAGAAGGCCUUUGGGUUGUAAAGCUCUUUUGUAGGGGAAGAUAAUGACUGUACCCUAAGAAUAAGGUCCGGCUAACUUCGUGCCAGCAGCCGCGGUAAUACGAAGGGACCUAGCGUAGUUCGGAAUUACUGGGCGUAAAGCGCGCGUAGGCCGUUGAGUUAGUUAAUUGUGAAAUCCCAAAGCUUAACUUUGGAACUGCAAUUAAAACUGCUCGACUAGAGUUUGAUAGAGGAAAGCGGAAUACAUAGUGUAGAGGUGAAAUUCGUAGAUAUUAUGUAGAACACCAGUUGCGAAGGCGGCUUUCUGGAUCAACACUGACGCUGAGGCGCGAAAGUAUGGGUAGCAAA